AGUUACCCUGAGUCAGAAGUUCAAACACAGCUCAGAUAUGUUCUCUGCUCUGGGUCUCACCACAGUACAAUAUAAUUGUCACAUGGGCUGUGUUUUUAUCAGAAGGCUUGACUGGUGACUCAACUCCAUAAAACUCAGAUGCUGUCCUUGGUUCAGUCCAUUGUAUCUUGCAUACUGGAGACCCUCAGGAUUCAUUUGCAUUCACUGAAUAAUUGGUCAACAGAUGAACUCGGGCUUUUACCUUAUCUGCAUCAGUUCUGGAGGCUGGAAGUUGAAGCCAAAGUGCCAGCAGGUUGGUUUCCUCCGAAAUCUUUCUCUAGCUUGCAGGCGACCAUCCUCUUGUUGCGUCUUCAUCAGACCUAUCAGUGUGCAUCUCUGGUAUCCUGGUGUCUGUCCACAUUUCCUCUUCUAAUAAGGACACCAGUCAGGUUGGAUUAGGGCCCACCCAUAAGAUCUCAUUUAGCCUUAAUUACCUCUGUAAAGGCCCUAUUUCAAAAUGCAACAUUCUGAAGUUCUGGGGAUUAAGACUUCAAGGUAUAAGUUUGGAGACGGGGGCAUAAUUCAGCCCAUAACAGAUCCCUUGAAGUAGAUAAGGAUUGCUUAAACAAGACAUAAAAUGCAAAAACCAUAAAAAGACUGAUAAAAAUACUUGAUUUACACUUAAGAAUUUUUGUUAUAAGGCUCAUAAAAAGACAAAGUAGAAGAUUUUUGCUACAUUUAUACCCCAGAACAGCUAUACAGAAUAUAUAAAGAAUUUCUACAAACCAAUAAGAAAAAGAAGAAAAAAAGAAAAAAGAAAAAAACCCACAAACAUAUAAGAUCUCUGCAACUCAAAAGGGGAAAACAGAGUGAUAGACCAGAACAAGAACUUCAAAAAGAAAAAAAAAUCAAAUGUCCAAAAUACACAGUGAAAAAAGGUGCUCCAGCUCCUUCCUAAUCAGGGAAUGCAAAUGACAUUGGCAAGACUUGAAGCCUGACAACACCAAGUACUGAUGAGGAUGUACAGUGAAGAAGCAUCCCAGACCAUGCUGAAGAGAGUGUACAUGGUACAAUUACUUUGUGAAACAAUUUUGUAUCUUCUAAUACAAUUGAAGAUAAACAUAUCCUGUGACUGGGUAGCUUUUUUCUUAGACAUAAACCCAGAGAAACUUCUAGAAUAUAUAUAUCCAUAUAGGUAGAAGUGGAAGCAACUUAAAAGUCCAACAAAACUCAGCCAGAGUUUUUUAAAUGGUGCUCUUAAUUCUGGGAAACAAACAGAGGGUAC